rnacentral:rRNA from 1 species
AUUGAACGCUGGCGGCAUGCCUUACACAUGCAAGUCGAACGGCAGCACGGGAGCAAUCCUGUGGCGAGUGGCGAACGGGUGAGUAAUAUAUCGGAGCGUGCCCAGUCAUGGGGGAUAACGUAGCGAAAGCUACGCUAAUACCGCAUACGAUCUACGGAUGAAAGCGGGGGAUCGCAAGACCUCGCGCGAUUGGAGCGGCCGAUAUCAGAUUAGCUAGUUGGUGGGGUAAAGGCCCACCAAGGCGACGAUCUGUAGCUGGUCUGAGAGGACGACCAGCCACACUGGAACUGAGACACGGUCCAGACUCCUACGGGAGGCAGCAGUGGGGAAUUUUGGACAAUGGGCGCAAGCCUGAUCCAGCAAUGCCGCGUGCAGGAUGAAGGCCUUCGGGUUGUAAACUGCUUUUGUACGGAACGAAACGGCGAGCUCUAAUAAAGUUUGCUAAUGACGGUACCGUAAGAAUAAGCACCGGCUAACUACGUGCCAGCAGCCGCCGUAACAC